CAGGAUGCCCAGUUAAAUUUUAAUUCCAGGUAGACAAUGAGUCAUUUCUGAUAUGAGCAUGUCCCAUGAAAUCUUUGGGAUAUACUUAUACUAAAAAUUAUUUCUUGUUUAUCUGAAAUUCAGAUUUAACGGGCAUCCUGUA
rnacentral:miRNA from 14 species